rnacentral:rRNA from 1 species
AUUGAACGCUGGCGGCAUGCCUUACACAUGCAAGUCGAACGGUAACAGGUCUUCGGAUGCUGACGAGUGGCGAACGGGUGAGUAAUACAUCGGAACGUGCCUAGUAGUGGGGGAUAACUACUCGAAAGAGUGGCUAAUACCGCAUGAGAUCUACGGAUGAAAGCAGGGGAUCGCAAGACCUUGUGCUACUAGAGCGGCCGAUGGCAGAUUAGGUAGUUGGUGGGAUAAAAGCUUACCAAGCCGACGAUCUGUAGCUGGUCUGAGGGGACGAUCAGCAACACUGGGACUGAGACAAGGCCCAGACUCCUACGGGAGGCAGCAGUGGGGAAUUUUGGACAAUGGGCGCAAGCCUGAUCCAGCAAUGCCGCGUGCAGGAUGAAGGCCUUCGGGUUGUAAACUGCUUUUGUACGGAACGAAAAGCCCUGGGUUAAUACCCUGGGGUCAUGACGGUACCGUAAGAAUAAGCACCGGCUAACUACGCGCCAGCCGCCGCCGUAACAC